rnacentral:rRNA from 1 species
CCUACGGGCGGCAGCAGUGGGGAAUAUUGGACAAUGGGGGGAACCCUGAUCCAGCCAUGCCGCGUGUGUGAAGAAGGCCCUCGGGUUGUAAAGCACUUUCAGUGAGGAAGAACGCCUGGUGGUUAAUACCCAUCAGGAAAGACAUCACUCACAGAAGAAGCACCGGCUAACUCCGUGCCAGCAGCCGCGGUAAUACGGAGGGUGCGAGCGUUAAUCGGAAUUACUGGGCGUAAAGCGCGCGUAGGUGGCUUGAUAAGCCGGUUGUGAAAGCCCCGGGCUCAACCUGGGAACGGCAUCCGGAACUGUCAAGCUAGAGUACAGGAGAGGAAGGUAGAAUUCCCGGUGUAGCGGUGAAAUGCGUAGAGAUCGGGAGGAAUACCAGUGGCGAAGGCGGCCUUCUGGACUGACACUGACACUGAGGUGCGAAAGCGUGGGUAGCAAACAGGAUUAGAUACCCCUGUAGUC